CCAAUAGCGUAUAUUAAGGUUGCUGCGGUUAAAAAGCUCGUAGUUGAAUUUUGGGAUUGGCACAUCAGUCGUGUCUUAAGGGGCAUGAACUAGCGUAGCCAAUUCCUCACCUUCUGGUGAAUUGGGAUGCCUCUUUAACUGGGUGUUUCAAUGAACUAGGACUUUUACUUUGAAAAAAUUAGAGUGUUUAAAGCAGGCAUUAUUUGCUUGAAUACAUUAGCAUGGAAUAAUAAAAUAGGACGAUGAUUCUAUUUUGUUGGUUUCUAGGAUCACCGUAAUGAUUAAUAGGAAUAGUUGGGGGCAUUAGUAUUCAAUUGUCAGAGGUGAAAUUCUUGGAUUAAUUGAAGACUAACUACUGCGAAAGCAUUUGCCAAGGAUGUUUUCAUUAAUCAAGAACGAAAGUUAGGGGAUCAAAGACGAUUAGGUACGUCGUAGUCUUAACCAUAAACUAUGCCGACUAGGAAUCAGACGAUGUUGAUUUUUUAAUGACUCGUUUGGCACCUUACG
rnacentral:rRNA from 1 species